UUCAGGGAAAAUUGAAUUCCUGUGGAGCAGCUCGCAGGCCGGGCAGUGGCAUUUCAGAGCAGUUUAGAAGCAAUAUUCCACUCGCCGGGGCCGUGAAAUAGGAGUCAUUUCUCUAUGGCCCAGCUGCUUUUCCAACCCCUGUCGCGGGCUGGGCAGUGCCUUAAUUGACCCGGCCCGGCCGCGAGGAACGAUCUGCCUAGCCGCUGACCGGGCCUAGGGAAAGGUCCAAGCUUCCUCCCACCCAGACUCAUUGUCCACCGAAACACACACAGAGGACGGGUGGAGUAACAACCCAACCUGCCCUGCACUCCCCCCCUCAGCCAACCUGUUCCUCCCCAUCUCGCCUCCAGCUGAUUCUGCUCAGCGCCGAGCCAGGUAAUUCAUCCCCAACUCCGCAUACAAAAAAACCCUCACACACACA